GAGUUGAUCAUGGCUCAGGAUGAACGCUGGCGGCGUGCUUAACACAUGCAAGUCGAACGGAGCCUAGCGAGUGCUGCACUGCGAAAGCUUAGUGGCGGACGGGUGAGUAACGCGUGGGUAACCUGCCCUGUACUGGGGGAUAACAGCCGGAAACGGCUGCUAAUACCGCAUAAGCCCACAUGGCCGCAUGGCCAAGGGGGGAAAAACUCCGGUGGUACAGGAUGGACCCGCGUCUGAUUAGCUAGUUGGUGAGGUAACGGCCCACCAAGGCGACGAUCAGUAGCCGGCCUGAGAGGGUGAACGGCCACAUUGGGACUGAGACACGGCCCAAACUCCUACGGGAGGCAGCAGUGGGGAAUAUUGCACAAUGGGGGAAACCCUGAUGCAGCGAACCGCCGCGUGAGCGAUGAAGUAUUUCGGUAUGUAAAGCUCUAUCAGCAGGGAAGAAAAUGACGGUACCUGACUAAGAAGCACCGGCUAAAUACGUGCCAGCAGCGGC
rnacentral:rRNA from 1 species